rnacentral:lncRNA from 1 species
UCAGUCGUUAUGUGUACGCAAUGAAUGUGGACAACAAUCGAGGCAAUAUUCACUAGUUAACAAGGGUUGCCGCUUACACCGAAGGAAUCGCUCAUCAUACUGAUGACAUGGGACCACAAACAGUAGUAUGGCAAUGCUAUUUUGGAUUUCAUAAACUAAAAUAAGGCAAUAUAUAGUCUCUUCCUACAAAAAAAUGCAAAAAAUACAAUUUAACUCACUGAAAACCUUGUAAUGUAACUCCCUAUUUUGGCUCGGAUAAACCAACACAUGUGCAAAAAUUUCUAGAAUUAAUUGGAUAUAAAAAAAAUCAGAGGGUUCGAUUUUGAGAAAGACCAAGAAUCGAUUAAUCCAAUCUGUGAUGAUGGCCAUGUCGUUUUCACCCGAGCUUAAACGGGGAGCUUAACCUUUCGUUGAUACUAUCAAUAUACAAUCAGUUAAUGUCGAGAGUUACAUUGUAGGUUUUUUAGCUGAAUAAUAACUUUAGCAUUUUUUAAAAACUGAAUAAAAAUUCGUAGAACAAAUAGUAAGAAUUCUAAGAGCAUCAUUAUCGGGAAAAACUCGUUAGGAAUCCUUGUGAAAUUGUUUAAUGGUAAAAAUAGUUAAAAACUUUCUUAAAGAAAUUCUUUGUAAAAUGAGCUGCAAUGGCAGAAACCUAGGUGAGGUUUUAUUAAAAAAAAAAAUAUUCUUGAUUAAACCUUAUGAAGCUUUGAUUUCAUGUAGAGGAAAAAGAAUACAUCAUGGUGAAGAGAUUGGAGGAUACAUGCAUGCGGCGGUGGAGAUAUGGAUGUCUGGCGGCGGAGAUGCCGAUGGAGAACUUGAUGAAGGAGGAGAAAUUUUGGAUGCCUCCACCCAGGCUUUGAUUUCACAAAAACGAAUUGCAGAAGACACCACCGUGAAGACCUCAGAUCAUACAUGGAAGAUUUGUCGGAGAAAAGAAGAAUUAGAAGAAUGUCGAAGGAGAAGAAGAAAUUCGUCGAGGAAGAAGCGAAGAA